CGAGCCAAAUUCUGCAGUUUGAUACGAGUAAACACUGUGAACUCUCUUUGUGUUUGUGUGGCUGUGCUGGAGUAGAAUGAAGGAAGGAUAACAUCAGAUGGCAGUUGCCAUAGUUGAUGUCCAUAAUGAUCCUUUCAUUCUGCAUAAAAGCCGGAGGAGAGGCUGUCAGUCAUGGAACCAAUAAUCAGCUCCAUGAAUGUUGGAGAUAAUGAAUGAAACCUAAUGUAGAAGGACAUCAUAAGGUUAUGACAACCCUCUGCAAACAGUUUUUCUUCCAGCAGUUUCAAAAUUCCUGGUCUUACGUGGAGUUCAUGGUACACUGACACUUGACGUGUACACAGGAUAAGAGAUGCCUGUUGAUAUCCUGAUGAGAGCAAGAAAGAAGGGUGUGGAUUUGGAAACUAUUUGUGGAGAAAGUUUCUGUUUCCUGAUGCAAAGCCCGGAGCAACUGCCGUUCAACUACAACUGCUCUCUCUGUAUCCUGAAUUCCUUGACUAAGACAGUGUGUGAAAUUCCAACCUCAUUAAGUCUGUUGUUUAGCUGCUCUCUCUGCAGCCCCUGAGAAUCUGCUCCGGGUCAGCCUCCUGCUUGUGAAACCAUUUAAGGCAAACAAGAUGCCUGGACCGUGAGGUGUAACCUAAUACCAAGUCAGACGGCCACAUUCUUUACUGCUUAGGUCAAUUACGACAUUCUUGCUGAUCAAACUUAGUGCUUGUUCUGUUUUGAUUUGGUGGAAUCAUUUAGAGAAAAUGUUGCCUCUGGAUUAUUGAACAACGUUUGGGGAUAUAUAGUUAAGAGUAAAGACAAAAAUAUAAUUAUUUUAAACAUCGUUAAGAUGUACAAUAGGACACAAAUUGGACCUUAGAAGAUUCCCCUAGGUAAAAAUGUGCCCGUUGAAUUCUGGACAGAAAAUUGUGUGAAGACACAAUUUGGACAACUUAAUCAAAAAAAAUUUUUUUCUACACCAUGAUUUCAGAGAUGAUUUAUACCAGAACAAUUAUACUCAGAAGGACCCAGGAAGUAAUAAGAUGUGUUUCUGACGUGUGUGCGUGUGUGUGUGUGUGUGUGUGUGUGUGUGUGUAUUCUUGAGCCAUCAUAAGUUAGGAACAAGAUGGAAAAUAUGUCUACUGGAAUUGAGACCAUAAUAUCAUUUCACAGGACUUGACAGUUUUUGUAUGGCAGCAAUCACUGUUUUUCUACCUACCUCAGUGACAGUCUCAAAUCAAUCAGUGAUCUAGAUGGGAAAGAUUUUAUAGCCCAUUACCCAAGCCUUCAGUCAUCCCACUGGUGCUCUGACCAAACUGGAUUUUCAGUCCCAAAAAUACACUCUGCAGCUGAAGGUUUGAGGUACAGCUGAUAAAGGCAGUGAUAAGGUCAGUGUGGCGGCGUGAGCCUGCAGAUUCUCCACAAGUACCUAUGACAUAUUUUAUAACUGUAUUCAUUUCAAUGAGGCAUUCUUAAACUCAAAAAGCAAUAAAUUUGACCUGUAUCAGCAUGUGGAAGCAAACGGUGUAUUCUCAGAAAAUAUUUUUUUUAGAGCUCUUAAAAGUAUGUGGGAUUUCAUAAAAGCUAGCUAUUUCCAACAUUUGAGAAUGUAUUCAAGUAUAACUGAAAUGAAAGAUCUGUGUGGUUUUGCUUAUUCAUGCUAUAACACAAAAGCCAUUGCAAAUUAGUAAGAAAUUUUAAAAGGAGCAAAUAGGUCCAACCUGUCCACGCACACACACUUUCUACUACAUUGUAACAGCUCAUUAAAAAUCAUUAAAAUGUACUUCUAUAAUAUAUUAUAAAUAGUUAAGAUGCUUAGUAUAUAUAAUGAGAAACAGAUGAUUAAUUCAAUAAAAAAUUAAACUAUUUAAUUAUAGACUAGUUUAUAAUGAGAACAUUUUUGGCCUGUUAUUUUGUGUCUUAGUUAGGGUUUCUAUUGCUAUGAAGAGACACCAUGACAAUGGCAACUUUUAUAAGGAA